CCAUCUACUAGGCUAUACACACAAGCAACUGAGAUUCCAUUGUUAAGCUAAACAAACAAACACAAUCAACACAUCAAACCAGACAAAACUCAGUAUCGGAUAAGGUUGGUGUCGAUCGACGCUGGCACAACAUGGUGUCGAUCGACACUGAGUUCGCAGACGCGAACUGCACGAAUCCGAACGACGAACCUCCGAUCUAAAUCAUCUCAAAACCAUCCCAAACUCCUCAAGAACCUAUGGGUAACAUGAAAACAACAAACCCAAGCAAGCAAACACCACAAAAACCAAGGAAACAAGCAAAACAAUAGAGAUCUCAGGCUUAGAUCAGCCAUGGUCAAGCACUCACCUCUUUUGCAGGAGAUUUGAUUGAAAAACGGUGGAAACAACUCCUCAAGAAGCUUCUCCUUCGUUCCGAGCAACAACCUCCCCUUCCACAGAAACAGAAGUCACCAAAAACCACCAAGAACAAGCCAAAAUCUCACAAGAACACUCUCAUACACUUUCUCUCCUUUUUCUCUCUUUUUCUCAUUCAACGGCGACCAAAAACAUGUAACCCUUGACUUGGGUCGAUUCUCCCCUUAUAUACCCGGUUUAUACAAACCAAAUAACCCAAACCAACCCAAAAUCGCGUAAUAAAAUCAAUCUGGUCAAACCAGAAAAGCUGGUGUCGAUCGACAUACCCAUGGUGUCGAUCGGACCUCCUGUAGACGGUAGUCACUGAUUAUAUUCCGAAAGGAAUAGAACGAUGCUUCCACCUGUGCUGGUCCACCAAGCUUCUCUGUGUUAUCCUGAAGUUCAUUGAGGUUCCUUAAAACCAACCAUAGAUCAUCUCUAACACUUCCAAUAUCAAUUAGCUUGUCCCAAACAAUCUAACAUAGACUGCAUACCGAAUCACCAUAGACACAGGAAAUGAAAAAAGAAAUUGAUCCCAAUUUGACUUUGAUGUCUAUAAUAUGGCUAUUCGAUCUGAUAACUUCAACCUUAUACGCUCCCUUCCAUAAUAGAGCCAAACCACCACUAAGUCCUAUCGGCUCAACUAUAUGAGAGUGCUCAUAUCCCAACCCUUCUGAACAUUCUUCACAUAGGUUUUGGAGUUCUUCGUCUCCAGGAGGUACAAAAAAUCAGGGAAAUACUUACGUUUCAUUUCCCUCAACUGAGGAAUUGUCAAGGUGCCCCCCAAUCCUUGGCAAUUCUAACUCAUAAAACUCAAUAUUGUGUCGUCGGUUCCUCAUGUAGAACCACCUUUCCUUCACUAGUUUUGGCCAUCUUUAGUGAAUCUUCCAUUACAGCAAAGGAUUUGCGCUUGGACCGGACACCCUCUCCUACAUCUCUGAUCUUAUCUAUCACCCUGAAUUCCACUGUAUCUUGCUCCUUUCGUGCAGCCUGAGCUUUCCUUCUCCACUUGUUGGGACAUCUUCGUUUGCUAGUAUGCUUAGUUCUGGUCCCUGUGGAGCCAGCUGAGAAGCUAACUCUUGGAUCCGUCGAACCAUUACCAUGCUUAGUAGCAGUCACAAAGGAGGUAGAAAAGGAUUGAGCUGGCUUGGAGAUCCUCGUCAUUGCAACACCAGAUUGUACUGCCUAGUGAUCUCCUUUUCAGUUUCACUUAUGUGGUCCCCUACUCCCUCAAAAUAAAAAAAUAGACCUUUCCCUUUGUCUACAUUUGUGGUGAACUUUGGUGGCGCUUCCAAACACAUCAAGGUUUUUUGUCCUUUAGAGUCUCCAGCUAAGUCCCACACAAAACGUCUGACUCUCUAAGCAUGAAUCUUCCUUUCUUUGGGAUCAACAACAUAUAAGUAUUGUCGCAUUUCAUCCAUGACACUUUUGCAAUUUUUGGUUUACCAAAAACCAAAUCAAUGUCAACAUCUUCAUCAGUUAAAACUCCAUACAGGGGAUGUCUUUGCUAAUCUUCGCAAUCAGGCGGCUGGGGAUGAUCUUAGCAACUUCAAAACCUCCCGUAGAAAUUAUUUGUCGGUUAGAGGGAUUGAAAGGACAAUGAUCCUUAUCAUGAGUGAGGCGGUGAUAUUGAUAGCAGCGAUGUCUGAUUCUCUCAUACUCCAGACCAAUUUUGACAACAUCUCCAUUAUGGAUUUGGACCUCCCUGAAAUUCUUCAAAGGUCGACUAACAUUGAACAGAACUCUUACCUAUACAUAUCUUUGCUUUGCAGUUUCAAAGGUUCAAAAGCUACAUCAGUGACCUGAACCAAAUGCUCUGCAAUCUCUCGGAUAGUGUCAGCCGUAUCAUAAUUAACGGGAUAUUCCUCAAACGGAUCCAGAACGAAAGAAUCUUCAAGUAGUCAAAAGGUGGAUUUGCAACCCAUCUCUCUAUUGUCAUGCUCCAGUCGUUAACAGAACAAGCUCCAGCCCCCAGAACUGCUUGUAGAUCAGUUUCUGAAUCAAAGAUGAACUGAAACUUGUCAUCUGGUAACGAUAUUCCUCUUGCUCGAUUAUACACUCGCCACAUCCUUGGUAUCUCUUGAAUCAUACUUGACAUCUUUUGGUUCUCCAGAUAGAGCAGGCGACCAAUGAUGUUACAUUCAUUUCUCACACUCGAGCUAAAUCUAGGGUAAUCCUUCAAGAAAAUUGGAUUUUUAUCCUCUAAAGACAUCUCUUUUAACACUUUGUCUAGAGCAGAUUCCAUUUUUUCACACUCCAUGACCAAAAACCCAAAAGUCACUCUCUAAAUAUUCAGCGACGCUAAAAAACAACUACGCCGGCGACCCAAAAUUGGAUGAACUAGGUCUAAAUCUAUUGCUAAAAUACAAUCUUUCAUCUGUAACAGAAAAUAUUCUACUCAAAUCCGGCAAAAAACGUAGAUAUUUUCGGUAUUCUCAGCUUUCUCAAAGGGUUUGAAAUCUGAGAAAGAGGUUCCUAAGCAAAAAACCCAUGAAAAUCUCAGUAAUAAUUUAUUGUGUCUUCAUCCACAUUCUAGAAUAUAUAUAUGUAUAAACAAAGUUGUAAAAAAUUAUACCUCCCUAAUUUUACUCCCACCAAUGCCUCCACGUUUAAAGCUGAUUUACUUAAUCCAAAUUCUCUCUUAAUCUUCUCUUUAUUAUCUUCAUAGUAUAAUGGUCUGUCUCUUUCAUCCCUCUAUUUUUUUAAGUUCUUAAACUUCUAAUAACAAUCACCACUGAAAUCCUUCUGAAGACCAUGAUCCUCAUAAAGUUUUUAUUUCUUGUGAAUUAUGAUGAUGGUGAGCCACAUCAUAGAUUAAAUAGAGUGGAUCGGAAGCUAUUCCGUCAAAUGCAAGGAAGAUGACGCAAAAUUCAAUAUCAAACACCAACGACCAUUACAAAAUACAUGAUACCUUAUCAUACCAUCAUGAAAAGGUUUGACAAUGAGAUACAAAAGUUAGAGAAUAAAAAGAAGGCAAAUUAGGAAUACAAGAAAGGUAAAUGAAGAAGCAUUAAAGGAAGCUCCAAGAAGAGCACAUAGAUAAACAGAAAUUUCUUGGCGGUGUGCUGACACGACAUGGAUUUUACGCCAAAGGAGAAGCCUUUCAAGAAUAUUAACAUGCCAUAAAGCUCAAGUCUUCUCAACCCAACAAAACCUUAAGUCAUGAUGUCAUAAAUUAUGUGUGGUCAACCGUCAACUUCUUCUACAUUGAGUUGAAGCGUUCAUGUCUUGGAGACUUGUUUAUUUGGAGUUUUGUAAUUUAAC